UGGUAGCCUAGUGGUUAAAGGGCUUAUAUAGUCAUUUAUUCGGCACCGAAGGUCGAUGGUUCGAUUCCAUCCUGAACAG